rnacentral:rRNA from 1 species
AUACGUAGGGGGCGAGCGUUGUCCGGAAUGAUUGGGCGUAAAGGGCGCGUAGGCGGCCCGGUAAGUCUGGAGUGAAAGUCCUGUUUUUAAGAUGGGAAUUGCUUUGGAUACUGUCGGGCUUGAGUGCAGGAGAGGUAAGUGGAAUUCCCAGUGUAGCGGUGAAAUGCGUAGAGAUUGGGAGGAACACCAGUGGCGAAGGCGAAUUACUGGACUGUAACUGACGCUGAGGCGCGAAAGUGUGGGGAGCAAACAGGAUUAGAUACCCUGGUAGUCCACACUGUAAACGAUGAAUGCUAGGUGUAGGGGGUAUCGACCCCUUCUGUGCCGCAGUCAACACAAUAAGCAUUCCGCCUGGGGAGUACGGCCGCAAGGUUGAAACUCAAAGGAAUUGACGGGG